rnacentral:rRNA from 1 species
GACGAACGCUGGCGGCAUGCCUAACACAUGCAAGUCUAGGGGUAGCAAUACCACUGGCGCACGGGUGAGUAACACGUAGGUUAUCUGCCCCCAUCACAGACAUAACCCCGGGAAACCGGGGCUAAUAUCUGAUGAGGUCGCGAGAUCAAAGCUUCGGCGGAUGGGGAUGAGCCUGCGGCUGAUUAGCUAGUUGGUGAGGUAAUGGCUCACCAAGGCGACGAUCAGUAGCUGGUCUGAGAGGACGAACAGCCAACACUGGAACUGAGACACGGUCCAGACUCUACGGGAGCAGCAGUGAGG